GGGCGUUAAGUUGCAGGGUAUAGACCCGAAACCCGGUGAUCUAGCCAUGGGCAGGUUGAAGGUUGGGUAACACUAACUGGAGGACCGAACCGACUAAUGUUGAAAAAUUAGCGGAUGACCUGUGGCUGGGGGUGAAAGGCCAAUCAAACCGGGAGAUAGCUGGUUCUCCCCGAAAGCUAUUUAGGUAGCGCCUCGUGAAUUCAUCUCCGGGGGUAGAGCACUGUUUCGGCUAGGGGGCCAUCCCGGCUUACCAACCCGAUGCAAACUGCGAAUACCGGAGAAUGUUAUCACGGGAGACACACGGCGGGUGCUAACGUCCGUCGUGAAGAGGGAAACAACCCAGACCGCCAGCUAAGGUCCCAAAGUCAUGGUUAAGUGGGAAACGAUGUGGGAAGGCCCAGACAGCCAGGAUGUUGGCUUAGAAGCAGCCAUCAUUUAAAGAAAGCGUAAUAGCUCACUGGUCGAGUCGGCCUGCGCGGAAGAUGUAACGGGGCUAAACCAUGCACCGAAGCUGCGGCAGCGAACGUAUCACCCAAGACAACUUUGCGGAGUUGACGAUUGACGGAGCGAAGCGACGUCAAAGCGUUCAUUAAAGUCGAGUUGGCUUAGGGAUACGUUCGUUGGGUAGGGGAGCGUUCUGUAAGCCUGUGAAGGUGGCCUGUGAGGGUUGCUGGAGGUAUCAGAAGUGCGAAUGCUGACAUAAGUAACGAUAAAGCGGGUGAAAAGCCCGCUCGCCGGAAGACCAAGGGUUCCUGUCCAACGUUAAUCGGGGCAGGGUGAGUCGACCCCUAAGGCGAGGCCGAAAGGCGUAGUCGAUGGGAAACGGGUUAAUAUUCCCGUACUUGGUGUUACUGCGAAGGGGGGACGGAGAAGGCUAUGUUGGCCGGGCGACGGUUGUCCCGGUUUAAGCGUGUAGGUGUGUGUUCCAGGUAAAUCCGGUUCACUUUAACACUGAGGCGUGACGACGAGGCACUACGGUGCUGAAGCAACAAAUGCCCUGCUUCCAGGAAAAGCCUCUAAGCAUCAGGUAACAUCAAAUCGUACCCCAAACCGACACAGGUGGUCAGGUAGAGAAUACCAAGGCGCUUGAGAGAACUCGGGUGAAGGAACUAGGCAAAAUGGUGCCGUAACUUCGGGAGAAGGCACGCUGACACGUAGGUGAAGUGAUUUACUCAUGGAGCUGAAGUCAGUCGAAGAUACCAGCUGGCUGCAACUGUUUAUUAAAAACACAGCACUGUGCAAACACGAAAGUGGACGUAUACGGUGUGACGCCUGCCCGGUGCCGGAAGGUUAAUUGAUGGGGUCAGCGCAAGCGAAGCUCCUGAUCGAAGCCCCGGUAAACGGCGGCCGUAACUAUAACGGUCCUAAGGUAGCGAAAUUCCUUGUCGGGUAAGUUCCGACCUGCACGAAUGGCGUAAUGAUGGCCAGGCUGUCUCCACCCGAGACUCAGUGAAAUUGAACUCGCUGUGAAGAUGCAGUGUACCCGCGGCAAGACGGAAAGACCCCGUGAACCUUUACUAUAGCUUGACACUGAACAUUGAGCCUUGAUGUGUAGGAUAGGUGGGAGGCUUUGAAGUGUGGACGCCAGUCUGCAUGGAGCCGACCUUGAAAUACCACCCUUUAAUGUUUGAUGUUCUAACGUGGACCCGUAAUCCGGGUUGCGGACAGUGUCUGGUGGGUAGUUUGACUGGGGCGGUCUCCUCCUAAAGAGUAACGGAGGAGCACGAAGGUUGGCUAAUCCUGGUCGGACAUCAGGAGGUUAGUGCAAUGGCAUAAGCCAGCUUGACUGCGAGCGUGACGGCGCGAGCAGGUGCGAAAGCAGGUCAUAGUGAUCCGGUGGUUCUGAAUGGAAGGGCCAUCGCUCAACGGAUAAAAGGUACUCCGGGGAUAACAGGCUGAUACCGCCCAAGAGUUCAUAUCGACGGCGGUGUUUGGCACCUCGAUGUCGGCUCAUCACAUCCUGGGGCUGAAGUAGGUCCCAAGGGUAUGGCUGUUCGCCAUUUAAAGUGGUACGCGAGCUGGGUUUAGAACGUCGUGAGACAGUUCGGUCCCUAUCUGCCGUGGGCGCUGGAGAACUGAGGGGGGCUGCUCCUAGUACGAGAGGACCGGAGUGGACGCAUCACUGGUGUUCGGGUUGUCAUGCCAAUGGCACUGCCCGGUAGCUAAAUGCGGAAGAGAUAAGUGCUGAAAGCAUCUAAGCACGAAACUUGCCCCGAGAUGAGUUCUCCCUGAGACUUAGAGUCUCCUGAAGGAACGUUGAAGACGACGACGUUGAUAGGCCGGGUGUGUAAGCGCAGCGAUGCGUUGAGCUAACCGGUACUAAUGAACCGUGAGGCUUA
rnacentral:rRNA from 1 species